rfam:Brachypodium distachyon strain Bd21 chromosome 5, whole genome shotgun sequence.
UAAAUACUCCCUCCGUCCAACAAAGGAUCUCUCAGCUUUAACUAAAUUUGAAUGCAUCUAUACACUAAGUCAUAUCUAGAUCCAUCCAAAUUUUGACAAACUUGAGACAUUUUUUGUUGGACGGAGGAAGUAUGAU